UUAAGUUCAAUUAAGUGUACAAGUGAUUAAGCAGCGUAUUCAGCCGUUCAGAGCUUAACUUAGUAACAAACAAACAGCACCUUAGGUGUUGUUUGUUUUUCAUUAAGUCGGUCUGAACGACUGAACUUAACCAUGGACCCAACGUAUUCAGUCUUCAGACUGUUUGUUUUUUAACAAAUGGUUCAGCGCUUAACUUAAUGAUCCAUUGAUUUACCAAUUAAGUGGUUCAGCCGAAAAAACGGGCAGAAUGAACCACUGAAUUACUUAAUUGAGCGAAAGGACGAAUAACCUCCUAAAUCUUUCGUUGUAUUUCUCUUCACUCGUUUGUUCCCCUCUUCUCCUCUUUGGCGACUGGUUCUCUGGUUUUGCUUUGUUUCCUCUCUCUCUCUCUCUGAACUUGAUGUUAUAUUUUUAUUUUUAUUUUUACAGGAUUUGGGGCUAAAACCAUUGAUUUCAAAAAAUUAGCUGUUGAAGACAACCUCUUUGGAUUAAAGGUGAUAAAUUUCCUUAUCAAUUUAUCAUUGAAUGCUCUUUAUCUAUGGUGGGAAUUUUUAAAUGCCAUUUUGAGAAUACCCUUUUAUCGAAAUUUGAAGAAAAUGGUUGCAAAUUAGUUUUAAGAAAAUGGUGUUUGCAGCAAGUAUAUUUACUUGUUCUAAUUUGGAGAAUUCACAUUGUUUUCUCAACCUUUUUUCUACUUUAGUUCAGUUGUCUUGUCAUUGUGUUGUUCUUCUAUUAACUUCAAUCUUGUUCUUCUAUUAACUUCAAUCUUCUCAAUUUUGAUUUCUCUAAUCGCAACCUUGUAGAGUGUCUGGUUUACCCUUCCCCAUAUUACCAAUACGUGCUAGGAGGAAAUUGUCGUUGUUUUUGCCAUAAAACAUUGUUUGCUACUUUCUGCAUUGGUCACUGAUGCACGAAUCCAUAUAUAUGUCUAAUUAUUGAUGAUAAUGCAUCAAAUUAUGACUGACCCUCUCGCCAGUAUGAAAGUGAUUAAGCAAUUAAAACUGACGAUAAAGGAGAAUGACAUUGUGACACGCUUAUAAGCUUAUAAAGUAUCCCAGACGUAGUGCACACAAAUGUAUAGCUAAGCUAGAUGAAACAACCAUCACCACACAAAGUAGCAAAGCAUCUUUCUUUGGUGAGCAUAUACAGUGGUCUGCCACACACUAGGGGACUAAAAAAAAAAAUGAUUUGUUGUGUUUAUAACCUUAUAAAAUAUAUGUGAAACCCCUUCUAAAGGAGAUCGAAUGUUCUCAAUUCAUAGCGCCAUUGCCUCAGCAGCUGGUGGGCAGUCUGACAUGUAUCCAACAUCUCUUGGGUACUUCGGUUGAGUUAGGUUCGGCAGAAUACUACUAGAUAGAGUGGUUAUUUGACAACUUAGAUUUUGUCAUUUGACCUCAAACAAGUGGUGUGAGUUCGUUCGCUCACUGCCAACUGGGUAUGUUUUGUAUGUGUGGCAGUGUGGAUGUAAAAUUAUGAUGAAAUUUUCAUAAAAAGAUUCUGACUACUGUAAAAUUCCUACUCUUGUAAUGUUUGAUGGUACAGUCGCAUAAAUGCACGAACAACACAAACUGAACCAAAGACUUGUUACGAGUUAUUCAACAUUUUUAUUGACUGAACUUUGAAAAUGUUACAAGCAUAUAACUGAGGGAUCAAGCAACUUCUAAUACUAGAACUUAGUAAUUUCGUUCUAAGUAUCUUACAAUGUUUAUUCAUGUCUUUGUCGAUCACUUAGUUUUUCUUUGUGAUCUGUUUAAUAUGAGGUUGUAAGUUUGUAGGGAUCAAUGUAUAUUACUCUACGUAUAAUCUAUUUGAGGUAGUUUGUAUGGAUCUGGCCUUAGGUGUGUGCAUGCGCUUGCGUGUGUGUAUUUUUGAGUUUUGACAUGCGUGUAUUUAUUUUGAUGUUUAUUGUUUAUAUGCAUGACAUGAAGUUGUAGGUUGUAGAGCAACAGAAGCAAAGAUUAUUUGAUUCUCUGUUCUGGUUAUGGUGUGUUAUAGCUCACUAAUCACAUCCUUUCAAUCUUAUAGUUUUCAUGUUCAUAUUUUCGUGGAUAUUUGAAGGACAAGUCCUGAAUGCAUAUUUUCUUGUGUAGUUUGCUUAUCUAACAGAGAUGGAGGUCAAACAUAGAUGCAAGUGCAGGAACUUGGUUUUCCACUGGGUGGUCUUGCAAAGUUAUUUGCGCAGGAUUAGGAUGUGUAUGGCUUCAGUCUUAAGAGUUGUAGCUCUAGAGGUCAUGAUGGGGAAGCAUCCAGAGGAGCUCAUCUCACUAGUCGAACACUUCUAUCAACAUCCUCGUCUGAUGAAGGAUUUUUUUUUUUUUGUAAGGAUUUGUUAGACCAAAAGAAAUUGUUUUUGUAAGUGAGAAGAACUGAGUUGUAUAUUACUACAAACAUUGGUACACAGUUUUUGACCAAAAAAAAAAAAAACAUUUGUAAUGAGAGAGCAACUUCUGGCGAGAGAGAGAAUGAAAAAAACUGUGAACUUAUUAGCAAACAGGGGUAUAAAAGACAAUUAUUAGUCAUUCAGCACUUAAUAGUACACAUUCUAAUUAGUUCAACACUUAAUUAAAUAUUG
rnacentral:lncRNA from 1 species